GGCGAACGGGUGAGUAAUAUAUCGGAACGUGCCCGGUCGUGGGGGAUAACGCAGCGAAAGCUGUGCUAAUACCGCAUACGAUCUAUGGAUGAAAGCGGGGGAUCGCAAGACCUCGCGCGAUUGGAGCGGCCGAUAUCAGAUUAGCUAGUUGGCGGGGUAAAGGCCCACCAAGGCGACGAUCUGUAGCUGGUCUGAGAGGACGACCAGCCACACUGGAACUGAGACACGGUCCAGACUCCUACGGGAGGCAGCAGUGGGGAAUUUUGGACAAUGGGCGCAAGCCUGAUCCAGCAAUGCCGCGUGCAGGAUGAAGGCCCUCGGGUUGUAAACUGCUUUUGUACGGAACGAAAUGGCCUUUUCUAAUACAGGGGGCAAAUGACGGUACCGUAAGAAUAAGCACCGGCUAACUACGUGCCAGCAGCCGCGGUAAUACGUAGGGUGCAAGCGUUAAUCGGAAUUACUGGGCGUAAAGCGUGCGCAGGCGGUUAUAUAAGACAGAUGUGAAAUCCCCGGGCUCAACCUGGGACCUGCAUUUGUGACUGUAUAGCUAGAGUACGGUAGAGGGGGAUGGAAUUCCGCGUGUAGCAGUGAAAAUGCGUAGAUAUGCGGGGGAACACCGAUGGCGAAGGCAAUUCCCUGGACCUGUACUGACGCUCAUGCACGAAAAGCGUGGGGAGCAAACAGGAUUAGAUACCCUGGUAGUCCACGCCCUAAACGAUGUCAACUGGUUGUUGGGUCUCACUGACUCAGUAACGAAGCUAACGCGUGAAAGUUGACCGGCCUGGGGAGUACGGCCGCAAGGUUGAAACUUAUAGGAAUUGACGGGGACCCGCACAACCGGUGGAUGAUGUGGUUAAUUCGAUGCAACGCGAAAAACCUUACCCCACCUUUGACAUGUACGGAAUUUGCCGAAGAUGGCUAAUGCUCGAAAGAGAGCCGUAACACAGUUGCUUGCAUGGCUGCGUCACUCUGUCGUGAAUGUUGGGGUUAAUUCCGCAACUAGCGCAACCCUUGAUAUUAGUCUCCUACUUUAAGUUGGGACCUCCUAGGGA
rnacentral:rRNA from 1 species